AUACUACUCCAUCCGUUCGGAAUUACUUGUCACAAAAAUGGAUGUAUCUACAACUAAAAUACAUCUAGAUACAUUCAUUUAUUGGACGAGUAAUUCCGAACGGAGGGAGUACAUA
rnacentral:pre_miRNA from 1 species